AAUGACACAUACUUAUGUGGUCAUGACUUUUCUCAACUGCAUAUUUAUGCACUGCCAAUGAUAUUAAUCAGCGGAACUUAUUGCCAUCCAUUUUGGGAGAGUAUAUCAUAUCAAUUAUGGGUACCUUUGUAAAUCCAUAAGCUCCAAGCCUCGCCUUUUAUCAUAUCAUUAUUCUCUUUCGUACCAACACCUAUUCAAUGGUGUGUACAUAAUUUAGAGAAUAGCGAGCUGAGCUAUGCCUUAAUUGCUCUUUUAUAUAUCAGAUUUUCAAGGCACAUUUUGUGCCAAGCUCUGGAUCCAGAUUGAGCAAUUAUUGAGGCAAUUGUGUUGUCGAUAACAUUUUCAUAAUUUUCUCCCAUAU